CAUAGUGUUCGACACGUAAAAUCAACUAACGUGUGCUAAUAUAAAAAUGAGAUUUUUAAACGUGUUUACUAUUGUUUUACUAGCCAUAGCCUUUGCCAUAGGCUCAGCUUCUGCUGAUAGACCACGUAUCAUAUACCCAACAUAUAGACCACCACCAAGAAGUCCUCCAAAAACCGUCUGGGUAUGAGAAACCUUGAACGCUGCGGCAGCAAAUAGUUUUAAGGAUAUAUUUUUUCUUUUUUUAUAUGCAAUAUAGCAAAUUGUGCCUAAAAAUUGUUUUGUAAUAUUUACCUAUUGAAGAAAAUAUAGAACAAAUGGUUCAUAAGA